CACACGUAUGGUGAAAAAAAGGGGCGUUUAUUUCAACGACUACUGUAGCUUUAAGAGAAUUAUCGACCAUCAUCACACUCCAGCCAAGCAACGUAGUUCCCCACCACAGCAGCAGCGGAUUAAUAUCCAAAACGUUAACAGGUUAGUGUCUGCUCAGCAGGUGGAUGAACAUGUAAUGGAGUUGCAGCAUCAGUCGCUGACCAAGGAAUUACUGGGGAAGUUGGUGGUAGAGGGAGGCUAUUGACAUGUCACAGGAAGAUGCUCAAAAAUGUAGAGCACAUGGAGAAGAUCUCUAUGCUGGCUUUCCAUCCAGUUAAGAUGCACAGCUGCUAUGAGAAGGUGGUGAACCUGAGCCUUGAGGGUCUGCAUCAACAGUUUGACCAAAUGGACAAUGCUGUGUAGAUGUUUGAGCAGAUCCUUCAUCAGAGUCUCGAGUCUCAGGGUACAGAGGAGCUGUGUAAGAUCAUCCAGCACUGCCAGGACAGAGUCAUUAAGGUAAUACCCAAAGAAAACAGGCUUGUGCAUCAAAUUCUUGCAUAACAUCCACAUUAAUAUCUCAUAAUAUUACAUCUGGCAUACUCCAGCCCUGGGAGUGAAACUUUUGGUCUGGCCUUGUUUUAGUGUAAAAGAAAAUUCAGGGUUUUGUUUCACUUCAGAUGAGCACAAAUUAAGACGUCAGGAAACGUAAGUGACUGCCACUGCCUGUGUCACUCCUACACAAGGUGUAGCUAUUGUAAAACAAGAUGUGAGUCAGUAUAUGAAAUCAGUGUUUUUCUCUUUCUCGUUCUUAAAUAUGAUGUCAUCAUCCCAGUUUCUUGAAUGUCUAAUGAACUAAACAUCAUUUAGCGAGAUAACCACGUCCUGUGCCAAAUUAAUAAAAUGCACAUGGAAAGAGUGACACCACUAUUGUUCAUGAAAGAUUGCACCAAAACAACUCAAAAUGAAGUAAACUUAUUUCAAUUGUACCGGUUUUCUUAACAGUUGACCUUUCACAAUGGCAGCAUUGAGUGUUUUUUUUUGUUGUUUUUUUCUGGAGCCUUUAUUAUCAAACCUCUUACUGACCUAAAUGACGGUGGUCUAAUAAUGACCACAGUAGGCAUGAAUCAUUGUAAAAUUGAUUACAGUCAAAAUAAUAUAAGAUGUAGCUACUUGUUUGAAUGACAUACAGCAUAAUAUUUUCAUGGGGGUUAAUGCAAUUAUUUACCAAUCAGAGUGACAGCUGACCAAAUGGAAUCAUCAGCAGGAUUAAUCUCUUCUGGCUCUUACCCUGGUCUGGCAGAGCUUCAGAGAAUAAAUCUCCAUGGCAACCUAACUUUAUCAAUUUAUUAUUUUGAGCAAGAGUCCAGGAUACCGGGCAAUAUCCCAGCUUAAUCCCUUCUGUGCAUGGUCCUCUGAUAUUUU